rnacentral:lncRNA from 1 species
UUCACUCUGUGGAUUAUGUCCUUUGAUGAACAGAACUUUUAAAUUUUUAAGUUUUAUUUUGCUGCCUGUACUUUUGGUGUCAUAUCCAAGAAAUCAUUGCCAAAUCCGAUGUUAUGGAGUUUUUCUCCCAUAUUUUCUUCUAAGAAUUUUAUAGUUUUAGGUCUUAUGUUUAGGUCUUUGAUUCAUUUUGAGUUUUGUUGUGUGUUUGUUUUUUGAGAUAGGGUCUCACUCUGUCGCCCAGGCUGGAGUGUAGUGGUGUGAUCUUGGCUUACUGCAACCUCCGCCUCCCAGGUUCAAGUGAUUCUCCUGCCUCAGCCUCCUGAGUAGCUGGGACUACAAGCGUGUGUCACCAUGCCCGGGAGAAAAGCAUUCAACCUCACAUCAUCAAGUAGAAUGUAACUGUGGGCCGGGCAUGGUGGCUCACGCCCGUAAUCCAAGCACUUUGGGAGGCUGAGGUGGGUGGAUGACCUGAGUUCGGGAGUUCAAGACCAGCCUGACCAACAUGGAGAAAUCCAGUCUCUACUAAAAAUACAAAAAAUUAGCCUGGCGUGGUGGUGCAUCCCUAUAAUCCCAGCUACUCUGGAGGUUAAGGCCUGAAGGGUUUCAUUUGAAAGUUACAAUUUCAAAUGAGGUGACCUCAACAGGGAGAGACAGGGUGGAGUGAACCACCGGAGAAACAGAGCCGAGGGAGGAGAUCGGAGGAUCUGAAGGAAAAUAUGAAUUCCCUACGCCUUCAGAGUUGCAGGGAGAGGCCUUCCACAGCAGGGCUCUUCAAAGAGUCCAUGAGAGUGCCCCAGAAGAGAAUCACCUUUGAACAUUUGCCAGAACUGGAGUGUAGCUGUUACUUAUUGCCAUCAUAGGGGUGUGUAACAAACAUCCCCAAAACUUAUUGGCUCCAAACCAUGACAAAGUCUGUGGUAAUUGACUUGUCCGCUGGACUUUUUUGGUCUAGACUGGACUGGGCUGGGCUUUUUCAUGUGUUUUUUUGUCAGCUGGCAAGUUGUCUGGGACAGGGCUGGUCUAGGCUGGCCUUGGCUGGAGUGACUUGGCCUGGCUCCAUGUGGUGUCUCAUCCUCCAGCAGGCUAGCCUGGUAUUCACGUGGAGAUCAUGACAGUCAGCACAAGUAUGCAAGAUCUCUUGAGGCCUGGGCUUGGAACUGGAAGGCCACCAUUUCCACAGCAUUCUAUCAGCUGAAGCAAGUCACAAUGCCAGCCCAGAUUUAACGGCUGCCAAACCACCCUGCAAGGUGUGCGUCCACCAAGACCCACUCUCCCAGCGCUGGGCACCCACUUCGCACUGCAGUGAGCAUCGGGGACCUGUGUGAGAAUGUCUGGGGCGAGAUGUUGUUAGGAGAGGAACUGCUGCAUCUCAGUCCUGCACUUCCUUCAUCUUACUAACACACCUAGAGACCCUUCCCAAGGGCCACCCAGCCCACCCUCCCAGCAGAGUGAGGGAGGUCUCCUGUAUUACAUCAUGUAACUGUGACAUCACCGAGCUUUCAGACUUCUGCCAGCCUAAAUGUGUAAAGUGAACCUUCAUUGUGAUUUUAAUUUGAUUUCUCACAUUACCAGUGCUUUUGAGUGUCUUCUCUUCUGCUUGUUAAUGUCUUGGAUAUCCUCUUCUGUAAAUUCAUACCCUUUGCUCUGUUUUCUUUUCAUUUUUUUGAGAUGGAGUCUCGCUCUGUCGUCCAGGCUGGAGUUCAGCGGCACAAUCUCGGCUUACUGCAACCUCCACUUCCCAGGUUCAAGCGAUUUUCCUGCCUCAGCCUCCCGAGUAGCUAGGACAACAGGCACAAGCCACCAUGCCUGGCCAAUUUUUGUGUUUUUAGUAGAGAUGGUAUUUCACCAUGUUGGCCAGGCUGGUCUUGAACUCCUGACCUCAGGCGAUUCAUCCGCUUUGGCCUCCCAAAGUGCUGGGAUUACAGGCAUGAGCCACUGCGUCCAGCCCCUUUGCUCUGUUUUCUGUAGAACUGCUGUAUUUUCUUAUUAAGCUACACCUUUUUGAAAUGGAUUUAAUUGUUCUUUUGACUUUGCCAUUUUAAAAAUAUUUUAAGCCGGGCAUGGUGGCUCAUGCCUUUUAUUCCAACACUUUGGAGGUGGAGGCAGUAGGACUGCUUGAGCCCAGGAGUUCGAGACCAGCUUGGGCAACAUAAGGAGACCCCCGUCUUUAAAAAUAAUUUAAAAAAUUAGCCAGGCAUGCUGCCACACACCUGUAGUCCCAGCUGGGAGCCUGAGGCAGGAGGAUCACCUGAGCCUAGGAGGUGGAGGUUGCAGUGAGAUGUGAUUGUGCCACUGCAGUCUAGUCUGGGUCACAGAGACCCCAUCUUAAAGUAAAUAAAUAAAAUUAUUUUGUCAUAUAUACAUUGUUUCUAAUCUCAAAAUCAUUUUAUAGGCUGUUACAGCUCAUAGGGCCUGUGGCACAGUGCUAGAGAUAUCACUAAUAAAAUGUAUUUGAC